UACGAAGGGGGCUAGCGUUGCUCGGAAUCACUGGGCGUAAAGGGUGCGUAGGCGGGUCUUUAAGUCAGGGGUGAAAUCCUGGAGCUCAACUCCAGAACUGCCUUUGAUACUGAAGAUCUUGAGUUCGGGAGAGGUGAGUGGAACUGCGAGUGUAGAGGUGAAAUUCGUAGAUAUUCGCAAGAACACCAGUGGCGAAGGCGGCUUACUGGACUGUAACUGACGCUGAGGCAUGAAAGCGUGGGGAGCAAACAGG
rnacentral:rRNA from 1 species